AGCCUCAGGUGUUGGGUACCGGUAACGGCCCAGCGAUCCUUACUGACCGUAGGUUCACCUGGGGCUUU
rnacentral:ncRNA from 1 species